AGAGUUUUUAUAAAAUUACUUACAAUAAUUUUUUUUUUCUUAACUCUU
rnacentral:tRNA from 1 species